rnacentral:rRNA from 1 species
GACGAACGCUGGCGGCGUGCUUAACACAUGCAAGUCGAACGGAAAGGCCCUGCUUUUGUGGGGUGCUCGAGUGGCGAACGGGUGAGUAACACGUGUGUAACCUGCCCUUGACUUUGGGAUAACUUCAGGAAACUGGGGCUAAUACCGGAUAUGAGCUCCUGCUGCAUGGUGUGGGUUGGAAAGUUUCGGCGGUUGGGGAUGGUCUCGCGGCUUAUGAGCUUGUUGGUGGGGUAGUGGCUUACCAAGGCUUUGACGGGUAGCCGGCCUGAGAGGGUGACCGGCCACAUUGGGACUGAGAGACGGCCCAGACUCCUACGGGAGGCAGCGGUGGGAAAUAUUACACAAUGGGGGGGAGCGUGAUGCGGCAGCGCCGCGUGCGGGAAAACGGCCUUCGGGUGAUAAACCGCUUUCGACUGUGACGUAGCGUGAGUGACGGUAAUGGGUAAAGAAGCACCGGCUAACUACGUG